UCCAUUCUCUCUCUCUCUCUCUCUCUCUCUCUCUCUCUCCCGCCACUGCAAAUCAAUUGUCGCUCUUCUGAUCUAUUAGAAACGAGCUAAGGUGCCAUUGUCAUGCUAAGCUCUGCUCGUCCUUCCUUCGCUCCAUCGGCCGAAGCAACUUCCGCCGGCAAUCGGUUUCCUCACUGUCUGCUCUGAAUUUUCCAGCAACCUUCAGUCCUAUCAGUCUCCGUAUCUGUUAUAGCUUACUAGCUGAUUCUAUGGCAAUUCGAUGAGUGUUUUGUUUUCUCGGGAUUGGCCCAGUGGAUGAAUUGUUCGGGGAAGGAUUCGAGGGAAAUACUUGGGGGAAGGAUGACGAUGCUUCGAUUUCAGUCCAGGUGUUGGACCGCGUCGACAUGCUGUUCAAUAGGCAUAGGGUGUGGGAUACGUCGAAACGUGACAAAGACCAACGUUCUCUUUCAAAAUUAGCCCUUUGGCUUCACCGUUGAUGUUAACAACACACUCUUAUUACGCAUUUGCUAAUAUAAGCUUGUUCGUCUUGGUGGUUUCUACCCUAACGACGAGGCGGUAUUAACGAAGAAUUUUCUCCAACAUUACCAACAGUUUGAAAGGACUUAUUUACGGUCGUUUGCAGGCACUAUCUCUGAGUCUGAGGCGGUCGUGGAAUGAAGGGGAUAAGUGUAGUGUGUACAUUCUUGUCAUAACCAUUUUACUGUGACGUUCCUCAUGACAUGACACCGACAUAGGAAGGAACUUUGCUCAUCAUGUCUUACGUUGUUGAAUUGAGGUGGGAACUGUUACCUAUGCGGCUUCUGACCUCUUUUCCGUUGCUCUACCAAUGAUUGCCGAUCCCUUCCAGCAUAAAACUACUACAAUUUCCAUUUUGGGUUUAGAUUCGUUCAUAUUUGUAGCUGGGGA